rnacentral:rRNA from 1 species
GACGAACGCUGGCGGCGUGCUUAACACAUGCAAGUCGAACGGAAAGGCCCUGCUUUUUUGGUGUGCCCGAGUGGCGAACGCGUGAGGAACAGGUGAGUAACCUGCCCUUGACUUUGGGAUAACUUCAGGAAACUGGGGCUACUACCAUAUCGGAUCUCCUGCUGCAUGGUGGGGGUUGGAAAGUUUCGGCUGUUGGGGAUGGACUCGCGGGUUAUCAGCUUGUUGGUUGGGUAGGGGCUUACCAAGUCUUUGACCGGUAGCCGGCCUGAGAGGGUGAACGGCGACAUUGGGACUGAGAUACGGCGCAGACUCCUACGGGAGACAGCAGUGGGGAACAUUGCACAAUGGGAGCAAGCCUGAUGCAGCAACGCCGCGGGCGGGAUGACGGCCUUCGGGUUAUAAACCGCUUUCGCCUGUGACGAAGCGUGAGUGACGGUAAUGGGUGAAGAAGCACCGGCUAACUACGUG